CAAAACGUAGCUUAACUCCAAAGCAUCUGGCUUACACCCAGAAAAUGUCGCCUAGCGACCGUUUUGA
rnacentral:tRNA from 1 species